CUAACGUUGGCCCCUAAUCGGGGUUGCGGACAGUGUCUGGUGGGUAGUUUGACUGGGGCGGUCUCCUCCUAAAGAGUAACGGAGGAGCACGAAGGUUGGCUAAUCCUGGUCGGACAUCAGGAGGUUAGUGCAAUGGCAUAAGCCAGCUUGACUGCGAGCGUGACGGCGCGAGCAGGUGCGAAAGCAGGUCAUAGUGAUCCGGUGGUUCUGAAUGGAAGGGCCAUCGCUCAACGGAUAAAAGGUACUCCGGGGAUAACAGGCUGAUACCGCCCAAGAGUUCAUAUCGACGGCGGUGUUUGGCACCUCGAUGUCGGCUCAUCACAUCCUGGGGCUGAAGUAGGUCCCAAGGGUAUGGCUGUUCGCCAUUUAAAGUGGUACGCGAGCUGGGUUUAGAACGUCGUGAGACAGUUCGGUCCCUAUCUGCCGUGGGCGCUGGAGAACUGAGGGGGGCUGCUCCUAGUACGAGAGGACCGGAGUGGACGCAUCACUGGUGUUCGGGUUGUCAUGCCAAUGGCACUGCCCGGUAGCUAAAUGCGGAAGAGAUAAGUGCUGAAAGCAUCUAAGCACGAAACUUGCCCCGAGAUGAGUUCUCCCUGACUCCUUGAGAGUCCUGAAGGAACGUUGAAGACGACGACGUUGAUAGGCCGGGUGUGUAAGCGCAGCGAUGCGUUGAGCUAACCGGUACUAAUGAACCGUGAGGCUUAACCUUACAAC
rnacentral:rRNA from 1 species